rnacentral:tRNA from 1 species
AAUUAAAAUAGUUUAAUCUUUUUAAAAUACUGAUUUGUGGAAUCGGAGAUUCUUUGAUUUUAAU